rnacentral:tRNA from 1 species
GCAGUGGUGGUUCAGUGGUAGAAUUCUUGCCUUUCAUGCGGAAGACUCCAGUUCAAUUCCUGGUCAGUGCA